rnacentral:lncRNA from 1 species
UUUUUUUUUUUUUUUUUUUUUUUAAUAGAGGUCUUUUAAUUCUGUGGUUUGGUUUAGGCUCAAGAUUUUAUUUUAUUUUUAAGCUAUUACAAAUGGGAUAGUUUUCCUAACUUGUUCAUGCAAAGUUUGUUGUUGGUACAUAAUUUUUUUUUAUCUUUAUAUCCUAAUUCUUUGCUGAAGGUACCUAAGUCUGAAAUUUGCCUUGUAGAGUUUUAAGUCUUUUAAGUAUAUGAUCUACAAAUAAAAAAUAUUUGCAGGUCUGACUUUUCCUUAGUUGUUUGUAUUCCCUUCCCCCCUUUUUUCUUUUCAUAUUUUGAACCAACCUUGUGGUGUAAUCAACUUCAUCAUGAUAUGUGAUGUUUUUAGCCUAUUCUUGAAUUUGGUUCUCAAGUGUUUUGUUGAGAACUUUGUCAUCUAUAGUUGUUGUUUUGUCCUUAGGGUAAUACUGGCUUCAAAAGGCAAAGCGUAAAAGGUAUUUAAAAAAAUGGAAUUAAAAGUUAGAGCAGUCUCUUCUUGGAUCCCAAAAAUUGGAAACUGACAUUUUGUGCUUGGGUUAGGGAAGGUAAAUUGAACCUGUCAGAAGAUUUAUGCUGGUGCUGAGCCUGAACCCUACAAGAGUCUCAGUCACUCUUCACUUUAGUAGCUUCCUUUUGCAUAGCAAAGGCUUCUGCUGUCCAUAUGUAGCUUUGUAGUUAUUGGGUUGGGCAUGCUCUUUUCUUUUUGGAGACUCCCCAGACUCUGUCCCCUAGGGUGGUUAAUGUUCUCUCUGGGGUAGAUUUGGAGGAUGUAUGUCUCCCAAGUGUAUUGGGGGUGGGGAUGGCAAAACAGUCUUGAGAUUUGUACAGGAUCUGUCUUUGACCUUUCAAAACCUAGAAGGUAUUCAUUAACUGCCCCACUAUAGGUGCCAAGUACUUCUUUGUUCAGAGUACUUGCCUCUACAGCAAAGUAUGGCAGAGUGGUGGCUCUAGCUUGCUAACCUCAGUCUCAGGAAUACUGGACCUCAUAAUUAGCCUCUGAUGAUGUCUGCCGGAAAGCAGGGCUCCUUUUCUCAGUGACAUCAUUUCACUGAGCCUCUUGCCCCUGGAUGCCUCUGCUUUUUAGUGACCUGUUCUCUCUCUACACCUGCUUUCAGGGCAGUCUCUCUCUCACUCUGGGCUUUGGUGGUUGAGUUCUGGCUCUCUGACUUAAUUGUUUCCCUUUCUCAGGCCUCCAGAGUAGCUCAGUUUGAAACAGUCGGUAUCUUCCCCCUCUACUUAGUGCCUGGGCACUGCUCUCCUAGUAUAGCCUACCAGAUUGCUGUCUGUUUGUCAGAAUAUGCAUAAGGCUCCAUAGAGUACAGGAAGGAGUAGGUGUGGGGAAUACAAGCCGUGGAUGGGGUGAACUUGGACCAGAAUCUUCCUUUUGUAGUUUUGCAUCAAUUCUAGAACUUGUUAGAGACAGGUUUGCUCUAAGAGACUUUCAUUUUCAUUUCUAUUUGGGGGUGGUUGUAUUAGGGAAGCUAUUCUUCAUACUUGUUUUGAGGCUGAACAUAGCAGGCUCAAUGUAAAGCCCAAUGAAUGUUUGAAAAUAACUCUUGAAUUGGCUGGAAAUGUAGAAUGUAGGAUUUCCUGAAGGAAGGCUCUCAGAUGCUGCUCUGUGUGUCCCCUGGGGAGGCCAUGCUUUUGAUGCUUUGUGGGCAGGAGGAAGGAUUCUGGUGGUGAAAUGCAUUUUUAGGAAAAGACAAAGGGUUUCCUCAUCUCUAAACUAGCAAGGUACAGCUGCCUUCAGUCUGUCAUCUGCUUAGGGAUUCCUUCAUUCUUCGUUUUCUGAAGGAAAGACAAGACAAGGCGGCAAGACAUGGUUUGGUGCAUUCCUUUCUUUUUUCUACAGCCAGGGGUAAAGUCAUAAUCCAUUAGUGUUCUUGCUGAAUAGCUUAAAAUGGGUGCCAGCAGCUGGAAAGAGAGAGAGAGAGGGAGAGAGGGAGAGAGAGAGAGAGAGAUGCUGGGGAAAGCUUUCCAGGGACAAGUGACCUGCUUGUUCAGCCAAUGAAAAUAGGUUAGAGGAAUGAUAUCACCAGACAGGCUUUUUUUGUCUGAUUAUCUUAUAAAAAGCAGGAUUGUAUCUGGCAACCUAAGCCUUUUUUAAGUACUAAGGUUUCACCCUCCCUGGUAUAUGACUUCUAAAUUUCUGUUCCCAACUGUCAGUUGCAAGACCAUAGAGAUUAAAAGCUUAAACGAGUAGAGAAGCUAGUUUAAAAAAUAGAAAUUACCAAACUUUACAACCAUGGCUAGAAUGGAAAUGUGAUCUGAGUUGUGUUCAAAGAGCACAUCUAAAGCAAAUGCUGGGCAUGGUCACAUGACCUUAGACCUUCUGCUUGUAGUCUUGGGAGGGGAAGGCAGUUAGUGGGAGAAGAGCCAUUAGUGUAUUCUAAUUUAUGGAAUGGAUCUUCCAAAGGAUUUCCUGUUUGGGAGGGAUUGAAUUGACUUUGUAGCUGAUCUUGAGUAAGUGAUUUCUGUAAUAUGUUUAUUACAUAUUACAGAAAUAAUUGACCUUAAUUGACCCUUCUCCCAUAAAAAAAUAACAAUAAUUGUCUUUAUGCUUGUUUCCUUACUGAACAAUAAGUGGUCUUGUCCUAUUUCAUAGAAUUUCUGAGAUAAGAAAAUAAAUUAGUUCUUGUGACUUGAGAUUUUGCUACAUGCAUGUAUUACAAUAAGAACAUUUUUCUUAAGAUUUUAUAUUCAGUUAUUCAUUUCUUUCAAUGGACAUUUCACACCUUUGUUUUAAACACUACCUUAAUGACCUAAAAAUAUUUGAAGGCAUGCAUGCCACCGUGCAUGUGUGAAGGUCAGAGAACAAAUUUGUGAAAUCAGUUCUCUGUUUCCACCUUUGUGUGGGUUCCAGGAACUGAGCUCAGAUCACUGGGCUUGCAACCACAGAGUGGCAGCACUUUGUCUGCUGAGCCGUUAUUCUAGCCCCGGGAAAGCAACACCUUCUUGAAACAGGGUAUAAGAGAUACAGACAUUAAACAAUAGUUCUAGCCUUUAAGGAACUCAAAACAUCCC